rnacentral:rRNA from 1 species
AUUCGGAUUGGAGUCUGCAACCCGACUCCAUGAAGCUGGAUUCGCUAGUAAUCGCGCAUCAGCCACGGCGCGGUGAAUACGUUCCCGGGCCUUGUACACACCGCCCGUCAAGCCAUGGAAGCCGGGGGUGCCUGAAGUGCGCUGCCGCGAGGAGCGCCCUAGGGUAAAACCGGUGACUGGGGCUAAGUCGUAACAAGGUAAC